rnacentral:lncRNA from 1 species
GAUAGAACUGAAUCUUUCCUAUCUCUUGCUCUGUUCCCAUCAAAACUCCAUUCCCCUCCCAGAAAUUACUGGUAAGAAACAUUAUGGCGAGCCACCAUUUCAGCGUGAACUAGAGACGAAUUAUGUCGAUGGUAUGCACCAGGAAUUUUUGCUGGGGCACAUGUACCAUCCUUGCCAUUUUGGAUCACUGCCGCGUGCAUCAUUUUGAACAGGUGAACGCUCGAUCUUGUGGCACGGUUGUAUUACCUUCAAGUGGAGCGAAAAUUGAUUAGAAGAUGUUCAGUUUUAUUAUUGGCUCCUAAGGGUUGAAAUCUUAUUGAGAAGUAAUGAAAUGGU